rnacentral:rRNA from 1 species
UGGGGAAUAUUGGACAAUGGGCGGAAGCCUGAUCCAGCAAUGCCGCGUGUGUGAAGAAGGCCUUCGGGUUGUAAAGCACUUUUGGCAGGGAGGAAGUAUUGUAGUUUAAGAGAUAGCAAUAUUGACUGUACCUGCAGAAUAAGCACCGGCUAACUCUGUGCCAGCAGCCGCGGUAAUACAGAGGGUGCAAGCGUUAAUCGGAGUUACUGGGCGUAAAGGGCGCGUAGGCGGUUAUUUAAGUGAGAUGUGAAAUCCCUGGGCUUAACCUAGGAACUGCAUCUCAUACUGGAUGACUGGAGUAUUGUAGAGGGUAGUGGAAUUUCCGGUGUAGCGGUGAAAUGCGUAGAGAUCGGAAGGAACACCAGUGGCGAAGGCGGCUACCUGGACAAAUACUGACGCU